UCACCUUGCACCACAAAACCUCUCCUCCUCUCAUCAUCCUAUCUACUCCAUGGCCAUAUCCCUCUAGCAAAAACAGUGGCUGAGAUUACGGUGGGCCACUGUCAUCAACGUUCCAGAUGAUCACGUAGAUGUCGGUCUCCAUGGCGCCUGCGGGAGAAAUCAAAGACAUGAAGCUAGCCCAGAAGACAUCUUCAAGGUGGCGUUCCCUUCGAUGAAAACCCUUCUAUUGGAAGAUUCAACCUUCAAUCAGCGGCCUGCAAAUAGAUGGUGGACCAAUUUGAGAUGGGUUUACAUCAAUCUCAAGAUCUUGAUGUAGAAUGGACGGUGUCGAUUGACUAUACACCAAAUUAUGGUGUAUCGCACCGGCAAAAGGCAGCGUUGGAGUUGGAUGUAUGAGAUCUAGAGCUUGUAAUUUAAAGAGAUGAUCUUAAUGUGGAAUGGACGGUGGCGAUCUUAUGAGGAAAAAAAAUUAUAAAAAAUCUAGAUUACUGACAAACCCACCAAUUCAGCUCGACUCGGUGCAAACUCAGUCCACCGGAUUUCACUCUCUCUACGUUUUCUGCUCGUUGGCUUGAUCUCUCAUUACCUAUUCCGAUGGCUUUGAUUUCAAAUCAGUUCUUAUCCAAGAACUUGCAGUGGGUUUUCUUGAUUGGAGAAGAUGGGUGGCAUAAAUAUGGGAAAUUCUACAUAAAACAUAGAUUUCGACAUUCCGCUGCUUCUGGACGGUUCAGAUGAUCAAGACGGAACUUGGGGACACAGAAUUUCAAAGGUCUAGAUCUGUUUUUUCCGGUGGGUGCUGCAGGGAAAGAAUUUCAAAAAUCCCGACGCAAACGGAUAUAACAGCGUCGAAAACGGAUAGAACAACGUUCGUGGUCUUCCUGUAAUACAACAUGGAUUCGAAGAUCAUCCAGAUUGUGAUUGAACAGUCUGGAUUGAUUUAGAUCUCCGUCGUUCCCUAAGCUUUCCUUCAUCACUGUAACUAAAACACAGACAUCCAUACAAUUUUAUUUUAUUUUUUUGCAACAAAAAGAAAAUAUUAUAUUGAAACAUUUAUACUAGAAUUCAAA